GGCGGCGGGCUUCUCUUCCGCCAUCACAGGGCGGGCCUCGCCUUCCUUCUCUGGGAAGAGGCUCCCUCCCCUCUUUGUAGACACGCGCUCCGCCAUCAUGUCUCGCUACACGCGGCCCCCCAACACCUCGCUCUUCGUCAGGAACGUGGCCGACGCCACCAGGCCUGAGGAUUUGCGUCAUGAAUUUGGUCGGUAUGGCCCCGUAGUAGACGUGUACGUUCCACUUGACUUCUACACAAGACGCCCAAGAGGAUUUGCUUAUAUACAGUUUGAAGAUGUUCGUGAUGCAGAAGACGCUCUUUAUAACCUGAAUAGAAAGUGGGUAUGUGGCCGGCAAAUUGAAAUACAAUUUGCACAAGGUGAUCGCAAAACACCAAAUCAGAUGAAAUCCAAAGAGCAUCACCAUGGUUCACCAAUGGACUACAGAAGGUCAAGAAGCCGCAGCCGAAGAAGGACCCGAAGCAGAAGUUCCUCAUGGGACUGGGGCAGGAGACACUCGGAUAGUUUCAGAGAGCAUUCUAGCUCACCAAGACGAUCGAUCACACCCCAAAGAAAUUCGAGUCCCAGGAGAAGGUCGCGAUCAAAGUCCUACCAGAGAAGUUCAAAGUAUGCUGAAAAAUCACCAUCUAGUUCCCAUCGGAGGCGUUCCAGUUCAAGAACAAAGUCACGAUCGCAUCCAAAACAUUCAGGAUCUCCAACUAGAUCACCCUCGAAAUCUCCUCGGAAACAUACUAAUUCCAGUUCUCGUUCAUACUCUCGGAAUUUCUAUCAGAGAAAUAGUAACCAGUCAGCAUCUGAAGAAGAUUAAUAUGGUUUUUUUAAUGACCGUGUUUAUGAGCACAAAUUAAAGAACACAGAAAUAUUCAGUUUUUUAAAAUGAAAGGUAAUUAAUUAAUGUUGGCCUUGCUUCAAUGUGUAAAACUCUUUAAAAUUUGUAAUACUUUUACAAAAGCAUUGAUUUAGUAGUCAUCCUCUUCUUACUAGUAAGAGCCCAUUAGUACUUCAGUCCUAAGCUGUGUAAUCAUACAUUGGCAGCAUUCUGUGCAGUGAUAGUUUUUUUUCUGCUGCACUGGAAUGGCUUAUUUUUAAAUCAUACUGUCAUCACUUGUCUUGAAGCUGCCAAAACCUAAGGACAUUACAACUGUGCACUGGCUAGAAGCCAUAUAUAGAUCUUUUCCUAUUUGGUGGGAAGAGUCAUACAGCCUGUUUAUUUUUCACACAGGUUUUUAAUUGUUGCAGUGUAAUUAUAGUACAAGCAAAGCUUUUAAGUAACUGCUAGAACUAGGACUGAGCCUUUCACUAUGGGUUUUAAUACUGGCAGUAAUUGAAUAAGGCUGCUGUGUUCCCUUACUACUUUUCUGGAUGUCCUUUCUGUAAUCAGUAGGAAGUGGGUUGCAUGUAUAGAUUCCUAAAUUUGGACAUAGGACCAGAGUUAGGAUGAGGUGUAUUUCAGCUUAGUCUAAAUUUGGAGCAGAAUGAAGUGCAAAUGAAGUGGUACAAUACUUUCUAAUGCUUAAUGUGGGCUUAAUACAUUCAAAUAUUCCUGUUGUAGCUAAAGAGAAACCUGCUUCCUCCAAAAUAGAAAACAAUCUCACUUGGCAAAUGUUUUAAACUAGAAUAGUGUUUCUUCCUGUGCUCAAAUCCCGUUUUUAGUGAGUCUUUAUGGUAAGACAAAACUGAAGUGUUAAUCAACAUUAAUGCCUGUGAGUAGUCAAAUCUAAUAUGCAUUGGACAUUUUUCGAAAAAGUUAAUUGGUUAUAUAAAGACAUUCUGUCUUACUGUGCUACAAGUUUUUAAGCACUUGUUUUUCAUAUAUGUUGGAAUGUUUUUGUGAAAAAUGUUAAACACUUAACAUACGUAAUACUUAACAUUUUAUUACAUGUUCUCUUUUCAAGAAUAUUGUGAAGUCAGUGUAAAAGACAUUUUCUUCAUGCAUUUUUAAAAUUCUGUAUCCCUUGAACUAUUUUAAUGAGCCUGAAAGCAUUAUUAGGUUAUUUUAACUUAUGUAACAGGAAAUUUUGAGAAUGUUUUUAGUAUAUUGCAUUUGCAUUGUGUAGGUUUGUGUGUAUGAUAGCUGCGAUGUUUGCUAACUUGUAGAAGUUCUGUAUAAUCUUUCUGUGAAAUAUGUAUUAGUAGUUCAUACUCAACAAUGUAGUAUGUUUAUUAAGCAAGAGAAUAUUUCAUAAACUGCAUCAGAAUAUGUAUUUGUGCUCUGUUAACAUUACCCAAUAUCACACGCUAUAAAAAUAGAUUAGACUAAAAUGUACAUGCAAAAUGUUAACAAUCAUACUGAUGCAUUUCCUGAUAUGUGCUAUAAAGAUUUAGCAGCUGAUAUACACAGGUCACAUUGUAAGAAGUAAGGAUAAUAAAAUGUUUUUAUUUUAUAUGUUUUAAUCAUGAUUAGAGGACCUUAGAACCAAUUAAACUUUAUAAAAUUAUGUGCUUAGCUUCAGGAUUUGAGACAGUGGUGUGAAUCAAGAUAAAAGUUUAUACCAAGCUCUGUUUUAUCAUGUAGAUAGAAUAGCAGCAAACCACUUUCAAAAUACAGAGGAAAGCUUGAGAAAAGCCAAACAGAAAUUUUAACAAAGGUUUAGAAGGAGAGAGUAUAAAAUCAAAAGUGAAGAUAUUGGAAGAAAACAUUUUAAAAAUAUAUUGGAAUGCUUAAUGUCAAUAAUAAGUGAUCAAAGCAGUAAAAUACUAUAAGACUGCAGUUAUAUUCAAUUCAUAACUGAAAAUUUUGAUAUUUUCACUAGGGACUUGCCACAAUGAGAAUAUCUUUUGCAUGAAACAGAACCAAGUGCUUCAGGCAGAUGUGAUAUAUCAUUAAAAAGGAUAUAAACAUUUGGGAAAGUCCACUUGGACAAUUUACUGCAUAAUACAUUUGUGGUUAAUCGUUGUCAAAUCAACUUCUAAUGGCCCUAUGAAUUAGAAACUUCCAGGUCAUACUAUUAACAGCUUUGCUCAGAUCUUGCAAACUUGGAGCUAUGGCUUUUUUGGUUGAGUUCAUCCACUUGUAAAAUAAUCUUCUAUUGCUUGUAGCUUAACAAGCAUUUUCUAGUGAGGCAUGUCUUCUCAUGAUGUGCCAAAAAUAUAACAGUCGGUUUUGUUAUUUUGGCUUCUAGGAAAAGUUCAUCCUUUUUUGGAUUCAUUUAUUUGUCUUUUUUGCAGUUCGUGGUAUCUGUAGAGUUCUUCUCUACUAUAUUUCAUGUGUUUCAAUUUUCUUCCUGACAAUUUUUUUCCAAUUCAGCUUUUACAGCCAUAUAUAGGCAUUAGAAAUACGAAAUGGAUAAUUGUCAAUUGUCAAUAAUAUGAAAUACAGCAAUACCUAUUGAAUUAGAGUUUGUUGAAACUAUUUUGGCUUUGAUGUGGUAUUACCCUGUUCUGUACUAGAUUCUUCAAAUUAUGUUAAAUAAAGCUAGGUAAUAAGGUGGUAAGUAGACAUUGGUUAUACUUCCUGGGAUGGGAUGUUACACCCCCAUCUUCCACUCUUCUGGUGUGAUAUACAUAGAUCUAUAUGAGAACAAAAAGGUACCUGUCAUUGUUCCCUUAAAUUGGGGUGGCACCAAAACCCCUACCCCUAGGAAGCAUGUCUCUCCCAUUUGCUCUUGUUCCCUCAAUUCUUCCCUUGCUGGAAAGCGUUAUUGGGCCUUGAGGUGACUCCUUAAAUGUGGACUUGUUCUGUGUUAUGCAAGUUCUUGGGUAUGUGUGAACAGACUUGAAUUCAGGUUUGACAGUCCAAAGACAGAUUUAAAAUUAGGUUUGUUAAACAAUAGAAAAAUAUAUUUCUAACAAUAUAUUUUUUGAUCUCCAUAAACCAGGGGUAGUUCUCUCAAAUCGAAAAAUUCAGUUCAAAGAUCUGUCUGUCGAAUGUAAACCCUGUCAGUAGCAGCUCAAAGCCCUGUCUCCUCUCAGAGGCCUCUGCUUUUGGGUACAUUCUGUUCCUCUUCAAUCUCCUAGAGUUGUGGUUGACUGCAUUCAGGCCAUGGUUUGCACCUCAUUCACAGUGUAUACACACUAACACACCCAAUACCCCAUCUUUUUACAUGGCAUCAUAAAAUCUCAAUCCCAGUUUUACAAUUGAGAUUGGGAACUGCUCCCUCCCCUCACUCCUCCAUAGCAACUGCCAACGCCUGCUCCUUUGACUAAGGUUAAAUAAGAGCCCAAAUGUGGAAGUCAAAUUGACUUUGGACUGGGGAAAAACAGGCUUCAAAGCGCAGUAGGAAAUGAUGUAGAAAAAGCAAAUGCAGAACCAAUAGGGAAGAACAGGUUUGUUGGAAGGCUCUGCGGUCUGAUGAAUAAACCAAGUGUGCAUAUGUGUUUUGAUGGGUGCAACUAUGUAAACAAUGUGGGAAGGCUUGUAUUUUGUGUUGAAAUUAUUUGAGGGCAUUUUAAAAUUAAAUGUAAAUUUGUUUCUUUUAAAGACA